GACGAACGCUGUCGGCGCGCCUAACACAUGCAAGUCGAACGAGCGAGAGAGAGCUUGCUUUCUUGAGCGAGUGGCGAACGGGUGAGUAACGCGUGAGGAACCUGCCUCAAAGAGGGGGACAACAGUUGGAGACGACUGCUAAUACCGCAUAAGCCCACGACCCGGCAUCGGGUUGAGGGAAAAGGAGCAAUCCGCUUUGAGAUGGCCUCGCGUCCGAUUAGCUAGUUGGUGAGGUAACGGCCCACCAAGGCGACGAUCGGUAGCCGGACUGAGAGGUUGAACGGCCACAUUGGGACUGAGACACGGCCCAGACUCCUACGGGAGGCAGCAGUGGGGAAUAUUGCACAAUGGGGGAAACCCUGAUGCAGCGACGCCGCGUGGAGGAAGAAGGUCUUCGGAUUGUAAACUCCUGUUGUGGAGGAAGAUAAUGACGGUACUCAACAAGGAAGUGACGGCUAACUACGUG
rnacentral:rRNA from 1 species